rnacentral:rRNA from 1 species
GACGAACGCUGGCGGCGUGCUUAACACAUGCAAGUCGAACGAGAACGGAAUAUAGCUUGCUAUAUUUGUCAGCUAAGUGGCGCACGGGUGAGUAAUGUAUAGAUAACCUGCCCUUAAGAAAGGAAUAACAGUUGGAAACGACUGCUAAUGCCCUAUAUGCCUUUAAUACAUAAGUAUGCAAGGGAAACGCUUUAGUGCUUAAGGAUGGGUCUGUAUGGUAUCAGCUUGUUGGUGAGGUAAUGGCUCACCAAGGCUAUGACGCCUAACUGGUUUGAGAGGAUGAUCAGUCACACUGGAACUGAGACACGGUCCAGACUCCUACGGGAGGCAGCAGUGGGGAAUAUUGCACAAUGGACGGAAGUCUGAUGCAGCAACGCCGCGUGGAGGAUGACACAUUUCGGUGCGUAAACUCCUUUUAUAUAGGAAGAUAAUGACGGUACUAUAUGAAUAAGCACCGGCUAACUCCGUGCCAGCAGCCGCGGUAA